rnacentral:lncRNA from 1 species
ACCGACUCUCUUUUCGGACUCAGUCCGCCUGCACCCGGGUGAAAUAAACAGCCAUGUUGCUCACACAAAGCCUGUUUGGUGGUCUCUUCACACGGACGUGCAUGAAAUUUGGUGCCGUGACUCGGAUCGGGGGACCUCCCUUGGGAGAUCAAUCCCCUGUCCUCCUGUUCUUUGCUCCACGAGAAAGAUCCACCUACGACCUCAGGUCCUCAGACUGACCAGCCCAAGGAACAUCUCACCAAUUUUAAAUCAGAUCUUCUCGGCUUAGCGGCUGAAGACUGACACUGCUUGAUCGCCUCGGAAGCCCCCUAGACCAUCACAGACGCCGAGCUUCCGGUAACUCUCACAGUGGAAGAAGGCAGGAAUGUCAGGCCUCUGAGCCCAAGCCAAGCCAUGGCAUCCCCUGUGAUUUGCACAUGUACGCCCAGAUGGCCUGAAGUAACUGAAGAAUCACAAAAGAAGUGAAUAUGCCCUGCCCCACCUUAACUGAUGACAUUCCACCACAAAAGAAGUGUAAAUGGCCAGUCCUUGCCUUAAGUGAUGACAUUACCUUGUGAAAGUCCUUUUCCUGGCUCAUCCUGGCUCAAAAAGCACCCCCACUGAGCACCUUGCGACCCCCACUGCUGCCUGCCAGAGAACAACCCCCCUUUGACUGUAAUUUUCCUUUACCUACCCAAAUCCUAUAAAACGGCCCCACCCCUAUCUCCCUUCACUGACUCUCUUUUCGGACUCAGUCCGCCUGCACCCGGGUGAAAUAAACAGCCAUGUUGCUCACACAAA